rnacentral:rRNA from 1 species
AGGAGCUUGCUCCUCGGGUGACGAGUGGCGGACGGGUGAGUAAUGUCUGGGGAUCUGCCCGAUAGAGGGGGAUAACCACUGGAAACGGUGGCUAAUACCGCAUAACGUCGCAAGACCAAAGAGGGGGACCUUCGGGCCUCUCACUAUCAGAUGAACCCAGAUGGGAUUAGCUAGUAGGCGGGGUAACGGCCCACCUAGGCGACGAUCCCUAGCUGGUCUGAGAGGAUGACCAGCCACACUGGAACUGAGACACGGUCCAGACUCCUACGGGAGGCAGCAGUGGGGAAUAUUGCACAAUGGGCGCAAGCCUGAUGCAGCCAUGCCGCGUGUAUGAAGAAGGCCUUCGGGUUGUAAAGUACUUUCAGCGGGGAGGAAGGCAGUGAGGUUAAUAACCUUACUGAUUGACGUUACCCGCAGAAGAAGCACCGGCUAACUCCGUGCCAGCAGCCGCGGUAAUACGGAGGGU